rnacentral:rRNA from 1 species
UAGGGAAUCUUCCACAAUGGACGCAAGUCUGAUGGAGCAACGCCGCGUGAGUGAAGAAGGGUUUCGGCUCGUAAAGCUCUGUUGUUAAAGAAGAACGUGGGUAAGAGUAACUGUUUACCCAGUGACGGCAUUUAACCAGAAAGCCACGGCUAACUACGCACCAG